rnacentral:rRNA from 1 species
UACAGAGGUCUCAAGCAUUGUUCGGAUUCAUUGGGCGUAAAGGGUGCGUAGGCGGCGCGGUAAGUCGGGUGUGAAAUCUCGGAGCUUAACUCCGAAACUGCAUUCGAUACUGCCGUGCUUGAGGACUGGAGAGGAGACUGGAAUUUACGGUGUAGCGGUGAAAUGCGUAGAUAUUGUGAGGAACACUAGUGGCGAAGGCGAGACUCUGGACAGUUCCUGACGCUGAGGCACGAAGGCCAGGGGAGCAAACGGG